rnacentral:rRNA from 1 species
UGGGGGAUAUUGCGCAAUGGGGGCAACCCUGACGCAGCAACGCCGCGUGAAGGAUGAAGGUUUUCGGAUUGUAAACUUCUUUUAUUAAGGACGAAACUUGACGGUACUUAAUGAAUAAGCUCCGGCUAACUACGUGCCAGCAGCCGCGGUAAUACGUAGGGAGCAAGCGUUGUCCGGAUUUACUGGGUGUAAAGGGUGCGUAGGCGGCUUUGCAAGUCAGAUGUGAAAUCUAUGGGCUCAACCCAUAAACUGCAUUUGAAACUGUAGAGCUUGAGUGAAGUAGAGGCAGGCGGAAUUCCCCGUGUAGCGGUGAAAUGCGUAGAGAUGGGGAGGAACACCAGUGGCGAAGGCGGCUUGCUGGGCUUUAACUGACGCUGAGGCACGAAAGCGUGGGUAGCAAACAGGAUUAGAUACCCUGGUAGUCCACGCUGUAAACGAUGAUUACUAGGUGUGGGGGGUCUGACCCCUUCCGUGCCGGAGUUAACACAAUAAGUAAUCCACCUGGGGAGUACGGCCGCAAGGUUGAAACUCAAAGGAAUUGACGGGGGCCCGCACAAGCAGUGGAGUAUGUGGUUUAAUUCGAAGCAACGCGAAGAACCUUACCAGGUCUUGACAUCCAACUAACGAAGUAGAGAUACAUUAGGUGCCCUUCGGGGAAAGUUGAGACAGGUGGUGCAUGGUUGUCGUCAGCUCGUGUCGUGAGAUGUUGGGUUAAGUCCCGCAACGAGCGCAACCCUUGCUAUUAGUUGCUACGCAAGAGCACUCUAAUAGGACUGCCGUUGACAAAACGGAGGAAGGUGGGGACGACGUCAAAUCAUCAUGCCCCUUAUGACCUGGGCUACACACGUACUACAAUGGAUGUUAACAGAGGGAAGCAAGACAGCGAUGUGGAGCAAACCCCUAAAAACAUUCUCAGUUCAGAUUGCAGGCUGCAACCCGCCUGCAUGAAGAUGGAAUUGCUAGUAAUCGCGGAUCAGCAUGCCGCGGUGAAUACGUUCCC